rnacentral:lncRNA from 1 species
GGGAAACUCCAGGUUUCCCCUGUUCUUUAGAGGCUUUCUUCAGCCUGUCAGGUUGCUUACCUCUGAAAGCCCUGUUGCUAGGCAACCAUGAGCUCUUUCAAUCACUUAAGUUUAAAGUGCAUUUUAUGAAAUCUCCCUUCUGGAAAUACUUGAGUGAUAGUAGGGGAUACUAAGUAGAAAGAAAAAGCCUGGAACUGACCAGUUUGUGAUCUUAGGGCAGUUAACUUAGUUUCUUCAGCUAGAAAAUGGAGUGACCCUAGCUGAUGGAAUAAUGAUCGAGACACUGGCAUCACAGUGACAAGCAUCAAGAGUCCACUCAGGCCCCAGGGAUCCUCGUGGAAACUGUCAUAUAUCAUUCAAGGAAGUAAUGGGUAAGAAACACUGAAGAUACCACAAGCAUGGGAUGCAGCACACGGAUAAAUCAAGCCAGAUUAAAACUGGAUGCCUCCACCCGCUGGGCUGCAUUCACAGGGCCAGAGGGUGCUAUGUACAUGCUUCUGAGGGACAAAGGGCAUCAAUGAUCUUACCUGCUAUGGAUCUGAAGUAUCACAAUACCAACCUGACAAGCAUUUUGGCUCCCAUGUGUGCUAAAAUGGUGUGACUGUUCUGUGGGUAACAAACGACUUUCAGACUGAAUUCCAAGCCUGCUUCAUUGGAAGAAACACCUGGCAUUGUAAACUUGUACAAAAUUUUAUGGCUGGGGGUGUCAUCGGACCUAGGUCAUCUUAUAACUAAUAUUACACUAACUAGGCAUGGGAGUAAAGUGUUCUUCAAAUAUUUCCCUUAAUGCCCUUACACUAGCACUGCUGCUGUUUGCAGAGGCUCAAAGCUGGUCAGAAUGCUGAGAAUAAAAGACUGUGAGGUGCUUAGCAAUAAACGGAACAACUAUAUCACUCCCUCCAAGACCCAAAGGACAACAAAGAGAAGAAGAGAAAAUAUUGUAGAGCUUGAGAGUGUGAGAGUUUCUGCAAAACAGUGUCUUCUGUCUUAUUAUUAUAUGACAAUUGUAAAGAUGAGCACACAGUAGCUAUGGCUACCUGCACUCACAAUACACAGAAAAAAAAAAAAGACCACAGUAAGGAGACUGGUUGGAAAGAAGGAGGCCUAUAGAAGUAGAAAGGGAGAUAAGAAAGGGUAAGGGGAUAUGUGUGUUCACAAAGCAUUGUAUACUUACCUAAAACAUUAAAAAAAUACAUUUAAAAACAAAACAGACUGAAGAGAUGGCUCAGCAAAUAAAAGCACUGUCUGGAUCCAUUUCAACUCCCAGCACCCACAUGGCCACUCACAACUUUCUGUGAUUCCAGGUCCAUGAGAUUCAACACACUCUUCUGAACUCCUCAAGCACCAGGCACACAUGUGAUACAUAGUCAUCAAGGUAGGCAAAACACACCUAUAAAUAAAAUACAUAAAAACAAAAAGAGACAAUAAAUGACAGUAAGACUGGGUAGGUCAUGACGGGCUUAUGCACUGCUGGUAAGAAUGUAAACUGGUCCAGCAUUGAUAGAAAGCCUUAAAAAGACUAAAAAUAGAACUACAAUGUCACCUAACUGUACCACUCAGAGAAGUGGGAUUUUUUUUCUGAGGAAUGAUAUUUACAUUAAGUCUUAAAGGAGUAAAGAAAGUUAAGGUGGAAAGGAAGAGGAAUUAUCCAGAGACAAAAAUGGGUAGAAACACUCAGAGGUAUAGAUCACAAAUACUUGAAUAUUCUAAAUGUAAUGUACUUGGGGAAUAAUUCAGAAGGCUGUCACUAGCUUAUAUUCUACUAAAGAUUCUUAGAAGUGCCCCCCCCAGAGUGUCUUAAGUUAGCUACCACAGCAUCUUAAUAUCAACUCAGGGUGUCAUUAACUCAAUAAAUAAAACUUCUCAUUUUCUUCAGUACUAUUACCCAUUAGCUAACAUUGGAUCUUUCACUUCUUAAUAAAUUGGAGAAAUAUUCUUCAGAACGUAUAAAGCACUUGCUUCUGGGGUAAAAUUUCUCCUAAUUCAUCACGGAGGAGAACACAAAGAACAGUGUGGAAUGGCUCUGGCACAUUAAACCCACGUAUUUUUACUGUCUAUUCUAGAAAAAGUCACAGCAACAACCUUUGCAGAAAUCAGCUCCUCUCCAGGCAGUCAUCAUAAACUCUCACCUAAGUUGUUAUGUUUCACGGGUCAGUGUUUGCAAGCCUUUCUUUCCUCUCCUUCCAGGUGAUCCAGUUUUAUUUGGAAAGCUUUCUAGGCUAAACACUAAGUAAAUAAAUGAAGCCAAUUGCUCAUGUUAUAAGUAUUAUUGUAAGUUGGAAUUGUGUAUUAGAUGUAGACAAUAAAUGUUUAUAAUAGCACAUAUUUCUCAAAUUUAAGUCAUACAAUUUUUGUCAUCUCCUAUCCUGUGGCAGACCCCAAGG